rnacentral:pre_miRNA from 1 species
UAUAUACUCCCUCCGUUCCAAAAUAGAUGACUCAACUUUGUACUAAAGUUUGUACAAAGUUGAGUCAUCUAUUUUGGAACGGAGGGAGUACAUC